AAAUCUUUAAAAAAUGUUCCCUAAUGUUUAUUGCUGAAGUGUGUCUUAUAAUCAUAACAAGAACCACAAGGCUGGCCCAGCCACAACAUUGGCUGCAAGGGGGAAAUGUCUGUGGGGUGUCCACAGGUAGAAUGGGCCAAGGUGAGUGUCCCAGUGAUACAAGACAAGCACCUGCACAUAG